rnacentral:tRNA from 1 species
AGCCCGGUGGUGUAGCGGUCAAGCAUAGCAGGCUCUGGACCUGCUGACGGGAGUUCGAAUCUCCCCCGGGCUACCA